UGAAUGUAUCAUUGAUAAUCAGUGGGAACUCUCUCUAGGGUUGUUGCCCCCUAGAAGGGGUUGGGGCUGCCAGGGUAGGAAAAUGAGGGCGAUUUCAGAUGUCUACCCAGUCACAUGCUUCGUCUAGGACACUCCCUUGAACAGUGAAUACGAUUUUGCCCUGGUCAACAUUGGACGAUUAGAGGCUGUGAGCGGCUUGUCCCGAGUCCAGCUCCUCCGUCCAGGGUCCCUGCAUAAAUUUAUCCCUGAGGAGAUUCUGAUUCAUGGCCGAGACUUCCGGCUGCUCAGAGUUGGUUUUGAGGCUGGAGGCCUAGAGCCUCAGGCUUUUCAGGUGACCAUGGCCAUUGUCCAAGCCAGAGCUCAGAGCAAUCAAGCCCAGCAGUAUUCGGGGAUAACCCUGAGCAAGGCUGGCCAGGGUUCUGGCUCCAGAAAACCACCAAUUCCUCUCAUGGAGACAGCGGAAGACUGGGAGACUGAGCGGAAGAAGCAGGCAGCCAGAGGCUGGAGGGUCAGCACGGUCAACGAGAGGUUCGACGUAGCCACUAGGUGAUCCC
rnacentral:sRNA from 1 species